CACAUAACUUCCCUCUGCCGUUGUCGUAGAGCCAAUUGAAAUUACUGAAAAGUGGUGUUCAUAUGAUGAGAUCUUCCUCUUCUUCCAUGGUACCAGCCAUGGGAAUCCUGGCUGUUAUACUCAUAUGCUGCACCCUGCCAUGCUCAGCUGCCAUACAAGUUCAUACGGAGGGAUACCGUCAGGGACAGAGCCCUCCGGCGCCACAUGCAGCGCCACGCCAGGGUACGGCAUGCUGCCGCCGCCCCAACGCUACACCGCCGGCACCUGCAGCGCCGGACCGCAAGACCCAGCAGCAGGCUGUUCCAGUGCCAUCGAUGUGAUGGACAAUCCUACGCGCUCGGAAAGUUUACCGUUUUUGGUGCCAGAGUGAAGUAGUGACAGUGCCAGCGAAAUGUUGCUAGAGUCCAGAAAACUAAGUAUGGAGAUGGCUCUAUCGUUCUUUAUAAAAAGCAAAUCUUUCAACAAGAUGGCUCUGUGCGUCAUUUCGUAAUAAUUUGUAUGAGUUUUAAUAUCAAGUACCUAUUGUCAUGUAUGUUGCGACACACACAAAAAAAGUGGAUAAGAGUGUUCUUUCUAAGCU